rnacentral:rRNA from 1 species
AGAGUUUGAUCCUGGCUCAGGAUGAACGCUAGCGGCAGGCCUAAUACAUGCAAGUCGAACGGUGUCUUCGGACAUAGUGGCGCACGGGUGCGUAACACGUAUGCAACCUACCUUACAUUGGGGGAUAGCCUUUCGAAAGGGAGAUUAAUACCGCAUAAGACAGUAGUCUGGCAUCAGACAGCUGUUAAAGAUUUAUCGAUGUAUGCUGGGCAUGCGUCCAAUUAGUUAGUUGGCGAGGUAACGGCUCACCAAGACUAUGAUUGGUAGGGGAACUGAGAGGUCAAUCCCCCACACUGGCACUGAGAUACGGGCCAGACUCCUACGGGAGGCAGC